rnacentral:rRNA from 1 species
GCAGACGGGUGAGUAAUACAUGGGUAANACUCCAAGAUGGGGACAACCUUCCGAAAGGAGGCUAAUACCGACUGAGACACAGUGACACAUGUCACAGGGUUAAAGGUGGCCUCUAUUUAUAAGCUAUCGCUUGGAGAUAGGCUCAUGCACCAUUAGCUAGUUGGUAGGUAACGGCCUACCAAAGCUACGAUGGUUAGCUGAUCUGAGAGGUUGAUCAGCCACACUGGAACUGAGACACGGUCCAGACUCCUACGGGAGGCAGCAGUAGGGAAUAUUGCGCAAUGGAGGAAACUCUGACGCAGCGACGCCGCGUGGGUGACGAAGGCUUUCGGGUCGUAAAGCCCUGUCGGAUGGGACGAAAAACAUUAUGGCUAAUAUCCAUAGUACUUGACGGUACCAUUAAAGGAAGCACCGGCUAACUACGUGCCAGCAGCCCGCGGUAAUUACCGUAGGGGGUGCCAAGCGGUUUGGUUCGGGGAAUCCAUUGGGGCGUAAAAGCCGCCGUUGGUUAAGGUUGGCUAAGUUUAAGUCGGAAUUGGGUGGAAAGCCCUUGGGGCUUCCAAACUUCAGGGAAAGGUUGGCAGUCCGAAAACUUGGGGU